rnacentral:rRNA from 1 species
UGAGCCAAGUUUAGGGUUUCUUAAAAACCCAAGCAGUAUUGAACUGAAGAGUUUGAUCAUGGCUCAGAUUGAACGCUGGCGGCAGGCCUAACACAUGCAAGUCGAGCGGAUGACGGGAGCUUGCUCCUUGAUUCAGCGGCGG